CCUUUUACGCCGUACGCUGUUACACCGAGAUAAUUCUUAUAAGAAAAUAGCCGAUGUAAACAAAACGGUAAAACUCGAGACAACAGUCAAGCAAGAGUAAACAACCAAAAUUUUGUCAGAAAAGCUUUUUGUGCAUCUAUUUUUGAGUUAAGCCGAUUUAGUCGUGCGGUACGAUCCGUGCUUCAAGUGGAUAAUUCGUUUGUCUGGGACAAAAGGACAAAACCGUCGACGGACCAUUUACAAAAAAUUGCAUGCAGUCAGUCUUAUGGAAUUCGAAAUGGACGACAGAAGUAUUGUGAAUUGGAGUUUCAUCUAACCCACAAAUUAAUCAAGAACCAGUCUAAGCAAAAUAAGAUUCUUUAAUGAAUACAAAAUAGUUGGCAAAAAAGGAGCAUUUGAAUCCCGAAUCUAUCGGAACUACAUCAAACAUUCAAAAUUCAAUCUCGAGUUGGCGAUGUCGUUUUGUUCCUGAACAGGCGCACAACUAGAUCUAACGACUGUUGAAGGAACUCCGUAUUUGUUAAAGUCGGAUGAGGUGGUCAUCAGGGUCAGCGGAAUGCAAACUGAAGAAAAUGUGGAUAAAGAUAAUAUUGAGAAGCAUAUUCAGAAAACAGAAGAAGCACUCUCCCGACAGGAAUUACUCUCAUUCUGGAUCAUUUUAUUUUUCUUGAUAUUGAUGAAAAAACACCCUACAAUAACUAUCUUCGCGGUCCGAACCAAGUAUUAAAAGAGCAUUCUUGAUGCUACUGCAUGUAAUUUGGUAUUCUGAUGAGCCAAUAUUUACUCCAAGCAGCGAACGUUUCACGUGGCAACAUUUCAAAAAAACUGUGCCAGUCGAUAAAAUUUACGCUGCGAACGGAAUCUAUACAAGUGCUUCCUUUGGAAAGCAAUACAAUCUUAUCCAUCGGAAAUUUGCUUUAAAAACUAAUCGAAGUUUUGCUGGUUGUUCAGAUUUCGUUCAGCGAUGUGAGCUAUGGAAGCAGUUUUCCAGAAGAAGUCUAAGCAGGUGCCAUUCGUAAAGCUAUAGACGGACAAUGACCGAAAGGAGAGCGUAUCUGAUUGCCAUGCGAAGCCGCCGUAGUGGCUGCGCUUUCAAGGAGAUUCGAAAGUGCA